GAUGAACGCUGGCGGCGUGCCUAAUACAUGCAAGUCGAGCGAACAGACGAGGAGCUUGCUCCUCUGACGUUAGCGGCGGACGGGUGAGUAACACGUGGAUAACCUACCUAUAAGACUGGGAUAACUUCGGGAAACCGGAGCUAAUACCGGAGAAUAUAUUGAACCGCAUGGUUCAAUAGUGAAAGACGGUUUUGCUGUCACUUAUAGAUGGAUCCGCGCCGCAUUAGCUAGUUGGUAAGGUAACGGCUUACCAAGGCGACUAUGCGUAGCCGAACUGAGAGGGUGAUCGGCCACAUGGGAACUUAGACACGGUCCAGGCUCCUACGGGAGGCACCAGUAUGGAAUCUGCCGCAAUGGGCGGAAGCCUUGCGGAGCAAGCCCGCGCGAGUGAUGAAGGCCUUCGGAUCGUAAAACUCUGUUAUUAGGUAAGAACCAAUGUGUAAGUAACUAUGCACGUCUUGACGGUACCUAAUCAGAAAGCCACGGCUAACUACGUG
rnacentral:rRNA from 1 species